GGUUGUGUAGCCUAGUGGUCCAAGGCGUCUGCUCUACGUGCAGAAGAUCGCAGGUUCGAAUCCUACCACGACCA